rnacentral:sRNA from 1 species
GCUGGGCGUGGUGGCGCAUGCCUAUAAUCCCAGCGGCUCAGGAGGCUAAGGCAGGAGGAUCAUGAGUUCAAAACCAACCUCAGCAAGGCGCAGAGCAACUCAGUGAGAUCCUGCGUCUA